CGCCGAACCCGAAGCUGUCGGAGGUGCACUUGUCGGCGGGGGAACCGCCGCCAUCGGAACCGCCGCUAUGCCCUCACCCUUGGCCGCUACCGGCGUGCGUGCCGAAGGUGCGGGCGGAUCGCGAUCUCCUGCCGCCGUCGCGGCCGCCGCCGCUGCCGCUUGCCGCUCCACAACUUCCUGGAGUUGCUCGAACCGAGCCUCCUGGCGCUGCAUCGCGCCCAACAUUGCAGCGACCUGCUCCCGCAGCUCCUACACUUCCUCCGAUCUUAGCUGCUCGGGCU
rnacentral:lncRNA from 1 species